rnacentral:rRNA from 1 species
CAGUCGCCACGGUAAUACGUAGGUCCCGAGCGUUGUCCGGAUUUAUUGGGCGUAAAGCGAGCACAGGCGGUUAGAUAAGUCUGAAGUUAAAGGCUGUGGCUUAACCAUAGUACGCUUUGGAAACUGUUUAACUUGAGUGCAAGAGGGGAGAGUGGAAUUCCAUGUGUAGCGGUGAAAUGCGUAGAUAUAUGGAGGAACACCAGUGGCGAAGGCGACUCUCUGGUCUGUAACUGACGCUGAGGAGCGAAAGCGUGGGGAGCGAACAGGAUUAGAGACCCGAGUAGUCCCUGUCUCUUAUACC